ACCCGCCGUCGGCCGUUCCCCACGGGCCACUUCCCCGCCGGUGCUCACUGCCCACGCUCCUCAUUCCCAUUCCCAUGGGCGACCCGCACCUCCUCUCCUCCGCCCACUCUGCCUCCGCCACCACCUACUCCGCUCGAAAACACCCUAGCCCCAUCGACGAGCCCUUCUCCGAUCCCAGCCCGUCCGUCACCAAGCGGCCUAGGGUUGCGGCGGAGCCGUCCGCGCCCAGUGACGCGGCUCCGCACCCCGAGGCGGAGGUCCGGUCGCUCGUCAUGAUGGCCGGAGGAAUCUACCCGCUGGCGCGGGCCGAGGGGCUCCGCGGCCUCGCCGCGGUCCUGGAGAAGGUGGAUGCCGGCUGCUCUGUCGGCGCAAGGAUUGCGGACUGCUGCUACGAAUGCGCGGCGGAGCUCAUGAGGGAUGACGACGAGGGCGUCAGGCUGGCCGUCGUUCGAUUGGUAGGCCUAUGUGCUCAGAAGUUUUCUGCGAGAAUGGAUAUCGAUGCCAAGGGCCAUGGUGACCUCAUGGACUUGAUUUUCCUACAGCUCCAUGGCUAGGGACAUGUGCACAAAAGUGAGAAUUGAAGCAUUCAGUGCCCUCGGUAAAAUGCAACGAGUUUCUGAGGGUGUAUUACUUCAGUCGUUGUCUAAGAAGGUUAUAAAAACUGACACUAUGAGUAUCAUCAACGGGCAAAAGUUACUUCCUAAGAUAAAAAUUCCCUGUGCUGCUGGCAUUUUUGCCCAUGGAAUUGAAGAUGAGUUUUACCAGGUGCGAACAGCUGCUUGUACAUCAUUGGGAGCACUGGCAAAGUUUUCUAGUCAGUAUGCGGAGAAGGCCUUGGACUUGUUGAUGGACAUGAUGAAUGAUGAUACAGAAGCAGUUAGGCUGCAGACUUUGCAAGCACUAUUUCAUAUGGCAACAUAUGGAUAUUUGAGUAUGGAAGAGAAGCACAUGCAUAUGGGAAAUUUGUGGUAACCACAGUUACUAAAGCCAGUACCAGUGUCUUGAAGGAUGAGUACUGGCUGGAAAGUUAUCGGGAGGAAUCUUAAUUGACAGUGAUCUGACCUGUUAAAUUUGCACAAUGUUCUGCAGACUACUAUCAACAUGCAAGGAUAAUGAACUAGGCCAGAAUCCACAUGAAACAUUCAUGAACAAUUUUGAAGAAAAGCAGUUCAAUUUUGUAGUUCGUAUAAAUGUUUCUUGGCUUGCUGGUUGAUGCCAAUGCCUUAAUUCGAAAUGCAGCACACAAGAUCCUUGGGUUAGUCAACCUGCCCAAACUUCAAAUGUUCAAAUCUGCACUUGAUGGCCUCAUUACAAGUUUGGAGAAAAAUCCUGAGGAACAAGAUAUAUAUGGUAUUCUGUUUUCUAUUGGUAAGAAUCAUGGGAGCUUUUCAGCUAACAUAGCUAAACAUUUGGCCAAAGAGAUCACUAUGGCAUCUCACGGAGAGCUUAUCUUGGACAAACCUAGGAUCAAAGCAUUGCUAAUAGUGUCAAUCUCAGCAUCUUUUUCUGAUGAUAAGCACAAGAAGUUGGACAUACCUUCAAUUAUCUUCUCACAUACAAUUUCCCUAUUGGAGAAGGUCUCAUCUGCACUCGGAGAUGAGGUUAAUGAGGAUUCGAUUUUAUCCUACUUGUGUCAUAAAGGUGGAAUGCCAUUUUGGGGAAACAGAUCAAUAUCUACAGAGUUUGGAGUAUCUGAAAGCUGCAAAGUUGAAACUGUGGAAAUUGGCGCCAAAGUAGAAAAUACUGCAAAGACAGCUAAGUGUCUAGACAGAGUUCUGGUAAUGCAAUCCAUGGAAUCCAUACUACAAACUGUUGAAGUAGCCUGGACUAUGAAAAUGUCAAGCGAUAUUUUUGAAGCCCAAACUAUUUUGAGAACAUGCAAAGAAGAGCUAAAAGUAUUGGCUGAAAAUUCUGCUGGAUCAAUUGGUGCGUUCUCAAGCUUUCUAUGCGAGUAUCUUCAUGCAAUACACUUGAUCAUUGAAAUAUGGCAGUUGAUUAAAUUGGAUAAUUCUUAUACUUUUGGCCUAACAUCACAUGAUAUUUUACUGGAGAAGUUUAAUAUAUCCAUAAGAAGGAUGGAAUACUGUUAUGCUGGAUUAAAUAGAGAAUUGGAGGUUCAAGUGUUGGAGCUUUCUUUGUUAGCUAAUUUAUUUGGAUUGUCAAAGAUUGGAGCUUGUUCAAAGGUAGUUCUGGGUAAGUUGCUUUGGAUUAUUAGUCGCCUAGAAGGUCUGUGUGCUGAUGGGUCCUGUGAGCUGUCUGACUUCAGCAGAGAAAUUAAGAAAGCCUUGGAUGCCAACCCUAACGGCGAUACUCUGAUCGGCAACAUUCACACUUUGUUUGAACUCUUCCAUGUAAAACCAACAACAGAUUUUGGAAUGGUUAAAGAGAUAAGUGCAGUGUUGCAAGUUUGUGAUAACAGUUCUGAGAAUCCACUGUCAUACAUUUGUGGAUUACCAGUGGGCGUCAGUUUUAACAUAUCUCUGUGGAACAUAUCUAGCCAUCAUAGAUUAUGGUUCCGCAUGAGCAUUGGUGAGUCCGUGCAACAUGCCUUCUUAGAGUUUUCCUCAUUUGAAGGUAAUGAGGAGGUGAAGAAUGGCUCUAUGGUUGUUCCUCUUGAUGCCACUCCAAUGGCACAUUCAUUUGUGCUGAGGGUAUGUCUGCUAAUGGAGUGUUCAUAUGGUAUCAGCACCAACCAGGGAGGACAUGGAGGACCGAGUGAUUGUGUUGUCCAACUCUCUGAUGAACUGGAUGUUUAUUUUUUCAGUACUGGGCAAAGGUGAUGAAACCAGUGCUCAUCACAUGCGCGUCAUCUUCAACACUGUGCUCAAGUAUCGUGGAUGGUUCUCAUAACUUUCACAAUGCAAAAAGUAGAUUGUAACAACAGGCCAGAAAUAGGAGUACCAUGUUAUCCAUUGAAUUGAAUUACUCAUGUUCCAUGUGGAUGGACGAGGCAAGUGACUUGAAAAUCCUCGCCUCAGCCCUCAAGUCAUCCAGGAUUUCUGAUAAAAGGUUUCUUUUGUGUUGAGAUUUUUGUAGCAGGAACAGGAGCAAAGCAUAUGUGCCACGUGUUAUAACUGAAUGUGUAGUUUGGAGGUGCAAAUGGUUUGCGAUCAUGUUGAAGCUAUUUUGGAGUUUGUACCGAUUGUGAGCCUGAUGAUGGAGAAGGCCCAGCUUAACCUGCUGUACUGCUCAGUACAGGCAAUGCCCUUACCAUACUCGUGAUAUAUAGGCCAGUGUACUUGGCUAGUUCUUACUAGGUUUUAUUUUGUGUAGUUUACUAAGGGAUCAUGUCCAGAUUAUUGAGAUAUCUGCGUCAUGGACUCAUGGCCCUGAGAUGUGCGUCAAUUGAUAAGCUGGUUGUUGUUUUGCGAACCGAAGUAGUCAAACUUCUUGGCUCUUGCUGAUGAAUCAAACUCCCAUCGCCCUACAAA